GGUAGUAUGGCUGAGUUAAGUGAUAAGCUGUAAACUUAUUUAUGGGGGAAAAAAUUCCUUCUACUACCA
rnacentral:tRNA from 1 species